rnacentral:rRNA from 1 species
GACGAACGCUGGCGGCGUGCCUAAUACAUGCAAGUCGAGCGAUGAAGAUUGGUGCUUGCACCAAUUUGAAGAGCAGCGAACGGGUGAGUAACGCGUGGGGAAUCUGCCUUUGAGCGGGGGACAACAUCUGGAAACGAAUGCUAAUACCGCAUAACAACUUUAAACAUAAGUUUCAAGUUUGAAAGAUGCAAUUGCAUCACUCAAAGAUGAUCCCGCGUUGUAUUAGCUAGUUGGUGAGGUAAAGGCCCACCAAGGCGAUGAUACAUAGCCGACCUGAGAGGGUGGUCGGCCACAAUGGGACUGGGACACGGCCCAAACUCCUACGGGGAGCAGCAAUAGGGGAACUUCGGCAAUGGACGGAAGGCUGACCGGGCAACGCCGCGUGGGGGGAGAAAGUUUUCGGAUCGUAAAACUCUGUUGGUAGGGAAGAACGUUGGGGAGAGUGGAAAGCUCAUCAAGUGACGGUAACUACCCAGAAAGGGACGGCUAACUACGUG